UCCAAAGUUUACCCUAAGCUAUGUCAUUUGAUUCAAUUUACCUUUAACAUAAUUUAUCUUUUUUUCUCCAUGUACAAAUUUUGCAAGAUGACAGCAGAUAUCUUAAUGCACGUUCAUAAUUUUUAUCAUUAUUUUGAUAGGUAGGAUAUUUAAUAAUAAAAUUUAUCCAUGAGAUACAAAAUUAUUUUUAAAAAAUAAUGAUGAAAAAUUUAUAAAAUAUUUUUUAAUAUAGAUUAUGAUUUCCAUUACCACCUUGCAAAGUCUGAAAUCAAAAAUUAACUUGUGUAUAGAGAAAAAAAUUACAUUAUGGGGUAAUUUGAACUAAAUAGUAUAGUUUAGAGGGUAAAUUGAACUAAACAGGGAGUAAUUUGGAGUUUUUUCAAAAAGAAACCAGGGAAUGAAUGCUUUUCUUGGGCUCUAAGAGCUAGUCGUAUGUUUUAUUUCGGUCCGUGAAAGUUUGGGCUGAGACAUUGCUUUACUGUGGGCCAAGAGUAACGGACCAAAUGGGCCUUCGCUGGGCGCUUGUCUGUCUUGUUGGGAAAAAGGCUUUUUGUUUCCUUUAGUUUGUGUUAGCUAAAAGCUUCGUGUUCUACUGCGCGCACAUGCAGUAUCUCCACAGGAGCACUGCAGCAGUAUCUCCAGGAUCUUGGGCAACCCGAUUGACCAGCCUUAAUAACAACACUUGGUCAAAGCUGCUACACGUCACUGCUGAGGAAAGUGCAGUAUCGGUUGGGAACCUCCUUGAUACCGGUUGCGCAACCGAUAUUGCUAGUUCGGUGCUAAAAGUGAGACCUUUAGUACCGGUUAAAAUAACCGGUACUCUACUCCCGCCCACCCGCCCUCCUGCCGCCGCUCUUUCUCGCCCGCCCUCCCGCCACCCGCCGUCGCCUCACCUCGCCCCACUGCUGCUCCUCCCUGGCAGGUGACGGGCGAGCGGAAGGGGGAGGGGAGAGGAGGCAAAGAAGGUGCCGGCGGCAAGAGAGGAACUAGUGCUGAGAGAGAAGAGGAAGAUAGUCCUGCCGAGCGGAAGGGGGAGGGGAGAGGAGGCAAAGAAGGUGCCGGCGGCAAGAGAGGAACUGGUGCUGAGAGAGAAGAGGAAGAUAGGGGGAGCUAGAGGAAGAUAGGAAGGUAGCGGGGGCCCAGCGUGGGCCCGGCCAACCGGCCACGCACCAACUGUUUCCUUGGUAUCUUGGCAAAGGAGAUGAAGAUCCUCUCUCACGCGCACCCUCCAAGGACGGAGAUUCCUGAGCAGCUGAAUCUUUGACUGACCAGCAGUGAAGAGCGCCCCUGAAAUUUGACCGGGAUUCUCUCGUGGCCCAGAUCGAUCGAUUGACGAGGACGCAACCAAGAACCAACGGCUGCAAGCGUCCUCGAGCCAACAGCUGAUGACCUCGCGCGCAGCGCACGCAUGGCAUGGUGGUCCUCGCCUCCCCUCGCCGCUUGCUUUGCUUCACAUGGAUGCGUGAUGGAUCCCCGCUAGCUGAGACUUGAGACGCUGGCAUGGCGAUCGAUCGUAAGCCAUGCUCACGUACGUACAACGUACUCGACGCCACCAGUGGCCGUUAGCUGGCCCUGUCGUGUGGUCACAGCCGUUCGUGCGCGCGCAUCGUCAUCAGCUAGGGCAUGUACGUCGUACGUACGCGCAGCCAGGCACUCCAGCAGUGCAAUCGAUGGAUGCAUGCACGUGCACGAGCAGCGGCGGUUUACAUCAGCAGGUAUCGGUUGUUGCUUUGCUUGGCAGAGAAGUGAUCCACCGAUCGUCGUCUCAGUCUCUCAGAUCGCUCUGGCCGGCCCGUGGCAUGGAUUCGAUGUAGCUUUGUACAAAUAUCUCCGGCCCAGUUCUUACAGGAACGAGACCACCAAAUCCACGGAUCUCGAUCGUCAGCUACGUCGCUGUCUCCUCCACGACGUUGAGACAUCACCGUACACAGCGCAGACAGGGCACGCACGUACAGCACACCCUGGCCGACUAGGCAGCCGCAUGUUCAGCCUAUUGCGCGAACGAAAAGGAAAGGUGUAAUCGAUCGGGUCGAUUAGAAAAAGGAUGCAUUGAUCGAUCUGCGGACCGUGCUCCAUGCCCACGGUACAGACUAGAGAGAUCUCGGCGGGCACCGGGCAGAAGGGGAGCCACGACGCGGGCAUCAGAUCCAUGUGGAGUCCUUGUAGGAGAGAGAGGUCGGUCGGUCGUCAGUCGAUGAUGCAGCUGGGAAAUGUUCAGCAGCUCAAAGCUUUCAGUCCCACGCACAUCGUCCUUAAAGAGUUAAAGGUGCGCCAGAGAGAAAGAUGCAAUCAGCUAGCUAGGUUGGUGCAGUACCACAGCAGCAGUGUGCAAGCACUGCCCUGCCUGCAGCAGUGUGAGCAUGAGCAUACGAUCCU
rnacentral:lncRNA from 1 species